rnacentral:tRNA from 1 species
GGGCAUUUGGUCGAGUCUGGUUUAUGGCGCUCGUCUUGAAAACGAGUACUUAUUAUUAAGUCGUGAGUUCAAAUCUCACAGUGCCCG